rnacentral:rRNA from 1 species
UACGUAGGGACCGAGCGUUGUCCGGAAUCAUUGGGCGUAAAGAGCGUGUAGGCGGCCCUUUAAGUCCUGCGUGAAAUCCUGCGGCUCAACCGCAGGCGGUCGUGGGAAACUGGAGGGCUAGAGUGCGGGAGAGGAGAGUGGAAUUCCCGGUGUAGCGGUGAAAUGCGCAGAUAUCGGGAAGAACACCCGUGGCGAAGGCGGCUCUCUGGAACGCAACUGACGCUGAGACGCGAAAGCGUGGGGAGCGAACAGG